UACGGGGGGGGCAAGCGUUGUUCGGAAUUACUGGGCGUAAAGGGCUCGUAGGCGGCCAACUAAGUCAGACGUGAAAUCCCUCGGCUUAACCGGGGAACUGCGUCUGAUACUGGAUGGCUUGAAUCCGGGAGAGGGAUGCGGAAUUCCAGGUGUAGCGGUGAAAUGCGUAGAUAUCUGGAGGAACACCGGUGGCGAAGGCGGCAUCCUGGACUGGUCCUGACACUCAUGAGCGAAAGCGUGGGGAGCGAUCCGG
rnacentral:rRNA from 1 species